rnacentral:rRNA from 1 species
GGGGGAUAUUGCACAAUGGGGGAAACCCUGAUGCAGCGACGCCGCGUGGAGGAAGAAGGUUUUCGGAUUGUAAACUCCUGUCGUUAGGGACGAUAAUGACGGUACCUAACAAGAAAGCACCGGCUAACUACGUGCCAGCAGCCGCGGUAAAACGUAGGGUGCAAGCGUUGUCCGGAAUUACUGGGUGUAAAGGGAGCGCAGGCGGACCGGCAAGUUGGAAGUGAAAACUAUGGGCUCAACCCAUAAAUUGCUUUCAAAACUGCUGGCCUUGAGUAGUGCAGAGGUAGGUGGAAUUCCCGGUGUAGCGGUGGAAUGCGUAGAUAUCGGGAGGAACACCAGUGGCGAAGGCGGCCUACUGGGCACCAACUGACGCUGAGGCUCGAAAGUGUGGGUAGCAAACAGGAUUAGAUACCCUGGUAGUCCACACCGUAAACGAUGAUUACUAGGUGUUGGAGGAUUGACCCCUUCAGUGCCGCAGUUAACACAAUAAGUAAUCCACCUGGGGAGUACGACCGCAAGGUUGAAACUCAAAGGAAUUGACGGGGGCCCGCACAAGCAGUGGAGUAUGUGGUUUAAUUCGACGCAACGCGAAGAACCUUACCAAGUCUUGACAUCCUGCGACGAUGCUAGAAAUAGUAUUUUCCUUCGGGACGCAGAGACAGGUGGUGCAUGGUUGUCGUCAGCUCGUGUCGUGAGAUGUUGGGUUAAGUCCCGCAACGAGCGCAACCCUUAUGGUCAGUUACUACGCAAGAGGACUCUGGCCAGACUGCCGUUGACAAAACGGAGGAAGGUGGGGAUGACGUCAAAUCAUCAUGCCCUUUAUGACUUGGGCUACACACGUACUACAAUGGCGUUAAACAAAGAGAAGCAAGACCGCGAGGUGGAGCAAAACUCAGAAACAACGUCCCAGUUCGGACUGCAGGCUGCAACUCGCCUGCACGAAGUCGGAAUUGCUAGUAAUCGCAGAUCAGCAUGCUGCGGUGAAUACGUUCCCG